CUUGUAAUAGCUCAAUGGUAAAGAGUCUGUCUGCCAAGCAGGAGACACAGGUUUGAUCCCUGUGUGGGAGG
rnacentral:tRNA from 1 species